CAGGUUGGAACCAGCUGGAACAGGUUGGAACCAGCUGGAACAAGCUGGAAUAGGUGGAUAUGGCCAGAGCUGACCCCCUUCAGGCAGGCCCAGCAGCCCCCCAGCACCGUCCCCUCAGCGCACGGACCCAGCACAGCCCAUGAGGGCCAUGGCACAGGCCAAGCUGGGAGCUCGCAUGCCACCUGUAAUAUUCACACUUUUAAACCUUGCACUCAUCUGAGCGAGUGGCACUGGGCAAUUCCACACUGGGCACUGCACACACCAUUUUCCAAGGUGCCCACAGAAGGCGGGAGGUUCCCUCUCCCUCUCUCUCUCCACACCAACAAGCAGCCCCUCGACCCAACCCUCGUUUGACAGAAGCUGCUCGUAAACUGUGGUGUUAACGCUUGCCACGUAGUCAGAGUGUUUCUCUAACUGCUCACUGGCCACCACCAUGCUCAGAGGAUGAAGAAGCCGUGGAUGUUGAUGUACCAAGCCCCGAGUGCGGCCACAGACAAUAGUGUUCUCUCACCAGGACAAUGUACACAAAAAAGGUCUAUUUCCAGCCAUGUAAAAAGCAGACAGAACUCAUUUUGAGUAAGAUCAGAACAGUAAACAUUAAGAACAACCACUCACAUUCCCUGCUGUAAGUUAGGAUUGUUAUAGAGAAGCACUCAAGAGAGAGUAGAAAAACUUCAAUGACCUUUCUUUCUUCU